AGAAAAAAGAUUGGGGGAUUAGCUCAGCUGGCUAGAGCGCCUGCCUUGCAC
rnacentral:tRNA from 1 species